AGAAGUGGGAUCCAAAGUAGAGGUUCUAACGACCCCCAAGAACACUGAGUGACCAAACAAGGUACCUGCUGGACUCACUUGUGUCUGCUGAUCUUUCAGGGCAGCUGGGGAUUGUGGGCAGUUGCACAACCUGGAGGCUGGCAUCAUGGGGUCAUUUAGGAUUGAAUCUGAAGGAGCCGCUGUGGUGGAAAUGAAAUCCCUGCACAAAAGAAGCUGGGGCUGAACUAUCAUAUUCUCCUGGAAGUAGUGGUGCUUUUAUAAUCUUUGGCCUGCAAUGUUAUUUGAAGUGUGAAUGUCUUCUAAUUUUUCUGACUCAAUGUCAUUGGCUUUCCUGAGUAUGAAGAUUAAGGUUUAUCACCAGUUUGAAGAAAUGCUUAGUGAUUUUUAAAAAUCUACCCAGGUAUAUCAUAGAUCUUGUAGCCUAUGUGUCUCAUAAAAAUCCCUUUUCUUUAUUUAUCUCCCUUGCAUUCUGAAUAAUUUUGUCAAUUCUACUUACUAGUCCAUUAUUAUUUUAUUCCUUGGUGUCAAAUAUAAUGUUC